CAGUCGCCGCGGUAAUACGAAGGGUGCAAGCGUUAAUCGGAAUUACUGGGCGUAAAGCGUGCGUAGGCGGUGAGUUAAGUCUGCUGUGAAAUCCCCGGGCUCAACCUGGGAAUGGCAGUGGAUACUGGCUCGCUAGAGUGUGUCAGAGGAUGGUGGAAUUCCCGGUGUAGCGGUGAAAUGCGUAGAGAUCGGGAGGAACGUCAGUGGCGAAGGCGGCCAUCUGGGACAACACUGACGCUGAGGCACGAAAGCGUGGGGAGCAAACAGGAUUAGAUACCCCCGUAGUCCCUGUCUCUUAUAC
rnacentral:rRNA from 1 species